rnacentral:rRNA from 1 species
UACGUAGGGGGCAAGCGUUGUCCGGAUUUAUUGGGCGUAAAGAGCGUGUAGGCGGCCAGGUAGGUCCGUUGUGAAAACUGGAGGCUUAACCUCCAGCUGUCGAUGGAAACCAUCUGGCUAGAGUCCGGAAGAGGAGAGUGGAAUUCCUGGUGUAGCGGUGAAAUGCGCAGAUAUCGGGAGGAACACCAAUGGCGAAGGCAGCUCGCUGGGACGGUACUGACGCUGAGGAGCGAAAGCGUGGGGAGCGAACAGG